rnacentral:rRNA from 1 species
GACGAACGCUGGCGGCGUGCUUAACACAUGCAAGUCGAACGGAAAGGCCCUGCUUUUGUGGGGUGCUCGAGUGGCGAACGGGUGAGUAACACGUGAGUAACCUGCCCUUGACUUUGGGAUAACUUCAGGAAACUGGGGCUAAUAACGGAUAGGAGCUCCUGCUGCAUGGUGGGGGUUGGAAAGUUUCGGCGGUUGGGGAUGGACUCGCGGCUUAUCAGCUUGUUGGUGGGGUAGUGGUUUACCAAGGCUUUGACGGGUAGCCGGCCUGAGAGGGUGACCGGCCACAUUGGGACUGAGAUACGGCCCAGACUCCUACGGGAGGCAGCAGUGGGGAAUAUUGCACAAUGGGCGGAAGCCUGAUGCAGCAACGCCGCGUGCGGGAUGACGGCCUUCGGGUUGUAAACCGCUUUCGCCUGUGACGAAGCGUGAGUGACGGUAAUGGGUAAAGAAGCACCGGCUAACUACGUG